GUCCUUUUCCUAGCUCAUCCCGGCUCAAAAAGCACCCCCACUGUGCACCUUGCGACCCCCACUGCUGCCCGCCAGAGAACAAACCCCCUUUGACUGUAAUUUUCCUUUACCUACCCAAAUCCUAUAAAACGGCUCCACCCCUAUCUCCCUUCACUGACUCUCUUUUCAGACUCAGCCCGUCUGCACCCAGGUGAAAUAAACAGCCAUGUUGCUCACACAAAGCCUGUUUGGUGGUCUCUUCACACGGACGCACAUGAAAUUUGGUGCUGUGACUCAGAUCGGGGGACCUCCCUUGGGAGAUCAAUCCCCUGUACUCCUGUUCUUUGCUCCAUGACAAAGAUCCACCUAUGACCUCAGGUCCUCAGACCGACCAGCCCAAGGAACAUCUCACCAAUUUUAAAUCAGGUGAAGUAUGAAGUUAUGAGGAGAAAGGAACAGAGGACAACCACACAGAGAAAGUGUAGCUUUAUCUACUAGAGCUGAAGACAUUCAGAUUUAUGAUCCAACAAUUCUACUCUGAAGUGCAGUGGUGUAUAUACUGCAACAAUGUGUACUCGUGUGCCCUGAGAACUAGAUAUGAAAAAACCUUACAGCAAUAUGCAUAAUAGUAAAAAAAAAAAACUGGAAACAACAAAAAUGUUCAUUGACCAUAUACAAUGAUAAAUGUGGUAUACUCGUAGAAUGGAAAACUACACAACAUUGAAAAUGAACAAACUAAAACUGUACACAGCAACAUGAAUGAAUUCCACAGAUAAUAUUGAGUGAAAGAUACCAGACACCAAAUAAUAUCCCAUAUGAUUUCAUUUAUAUUAAAUGUUUUUUUUUUUUUUUGAGAUGGAGUCUCGCUCUGUUGCCCAGGCUGGAGUGCAGUGGCACAAUCUUGGCUCAAUGCAACCUCUGCCUUUCAGGUUCAAGCUAUUCUCCCACUUCAGCCUCCCCAGUAGCUGGGACUACAGGUAUCUGCCACCACGCCCAACUAAGUUUUGUAUUUUCAGUAGAUAUGGGGGUUUCACCAUGUUGGCCAGGCUCGUCUUGAACUCCUGGCCUCAAGUGAUCUGCCCACCACGGCCUUCCAAAGUGCUGGGAUUACAGGUGUGAGCCACCGUGCCCGGCCUCAUUUAUAUUAAAUUUAACAUAGGCAGACUAAUCCAUUAUGCUAGAAGUCUGGAGAGUGGUUACUUUGAGGAAGAGAGGACUGAUUGAUCAGGCUUGAGGGGGUUCUAAAGUGGUGGCAGGGUUUGGUUUCUUGACCAAUAUUACGGAUAUUCAUUACGGAGCUCCUUAAACACUUUAAAUUUUACUUGUGUAAUGGGAUUAUGUCUACUUCAAGCGGUUAUUGUAAGGAUUAAACAACAAUGUAUGUAAAGUGCUGUGCAGUGUAUCAUGUAUAAUAAAUAUUCCAACAGCUGUAAUUGUCAUUGCUAUCAAUAUCACUGUUAAGCUGUAUAUAUAAUAAGUUUUGAAAACUUACAUAGUUAACCAUAUUCAAUCUCCAUUUUGUGUUAGACAGUUCUCAAACACUGAGGUGCUUUCCUGGAAACAGUCCUAUUGAAAGCAGCUGCUCCAUUAUUGUAAGGAUGUUGUUGAGGGUAUUGGUGUUAUAGCACAUUUGUUCUCUUGGGAAGGACCUACCGAAGAAAUAUCUUUCUGAUCUCUAUUUGAAAUUAAUUGUACUCUCCUGAGCAACAGACUUUGAUUAUUGUCCAAGUUUAAUAUUACACACAUUGUGAAUCCUGUAGGGAAAUGUAUCUUUCUUCUUGGCUUUCUAUUUGAAUACUGAAAAUCUUAGAAUCAAAUCUGUGCUCUAACUUUAUCAAAUGUAUAUAGACUUACACCGUGCAUUUUCUGGAUAAACUGCGUUUUCCUUA